GUCCUCAUUGAGUCAUCCCUCCCAGAGCAGGAAGAGCAGAGGUUCUGGGAAACAACCCCAAGGAGAGAGACAGGGCAUUUGUGAGCUGUGCAGCCUCCCUGCUGGGACAUAGGGAACUCUAGCUGGAGAUGAGCAGGGCCUGAGUCUGAGGGUGGCCCUGCUGAAAGCACAGUAAUAGGAGUUAUAAUCAGCUAAGAGCAGGAAAUCUACUUUAUUUUUCUAAUGUUAUUCUUUGCUUUCUAGAUAAAACAGCAUGUAAGCAUCUCUGCAGUUGCUGUCCCCAGAGCCCACUUCCUGGAUAUUGCCAGCUGCCUGGACCAACCUUUCCGAAAGAUCAGCCAGGUCACAGUGAGGGUCAAAGCAGGAGGCCACUGGAGGCUCCAAGGGCUCUGAAAUGUUGAGAACUUCCCUGCAGGUACCAGCGAAGAGGGCAAGAACACAGCACUACUUCCUUGGAUACUGUUUCCCUCCUCAGAGGGGUUUUCUGAGCUGCCCUGGGUCCUGUGAGGAAGAUCUCCCCUUCCUGUAAAGACACCAGUCCUACUGGAUCAGGGCCCACCCGUGUGACUUCACUUUUACUUGAGUACCUCUCACAGACCCUAACUCCAAAUCAGGUCACUUGCUGAGGUACUGCAUGUGAAGACUUUGACAUUUGAAUUUUGAGGGGGCCACCGUUUAACCUGAACCACCAAGGACAGAGCCAAAGACCCUGGGUGACAGGCCCAGAACAGGACCUGGUGGAGGCUCUUCUUUAGGGGAGAGAGGGAAAUGGGAGCCACCACUGGCAGAGCCUGAAGGCAGGGCAGCCAGAAAGAAGCUGUGGGAGUCCCCACCAUGGAAGACCCUGCCGAGCAUCCUGUGUCUCCUGAAGCAGACCCUGACAUGAGGACUGGGGGCACGUGUUUAUUAAGGGCGAUCCCCGGAAGGAGGAGAUAACCAGGCAGAAGUCCUAGCAGAGUAUGCCCACGCUGGUUAGUGCUGCUGCAAAGAUGAGCCGAAGACCAUGAGAGACCUCCAGGUGGUCCUUCUGGGGAGAAGAAAUGGGUUUUGGCCCCAAAUCCUUCUGCUGCAUUUUUCCCCUAUCCCUGGGAAGCCAUGAGACCUCAAACCUGUGUUCCCAAGGAGGCGAGCUGCUGUUCCCAGGUGAUGAUAUGAUGUGCUUGGGGAAAGUAAGUGGCUGCCAGACAUGGCUGAGAGCUGUUGUCACUGCCGUCAAGUGCAUGUCUCCAAGCCAUAUCACACGGCGUCCCUCGAUGUGAGGCCACAUGGCAAGUGGGCCGUGGAUCUCCCUCUGCCCUUUGCAAGCACGUAAGACAGCAGAUUUUGCAGAUACCUUGUGGCGCAGGGGAAUUUCCUUUGGCCAGGUCUGAAGAAAUAAAGCAGCAGGCACCGAGAACAAAGCCAAGGCUUUCAAAAGACAAGGAGCCAAAAAACUUACUCAAAAUAAAAGUAGUUUUAAAAUGUCU
rnacentral:lncRNA from 1 species